rnacentral:rRNA from 1 species
GACGAACCGAGCGAACGUUGUUCGGAAUCACUGGGCUUAAAGGGCGCGUAGGCGGAUUCUCAAGUCCGGGGUGAAAUCCUCCAGCUCAACUGGAGAACUGCCUCGGAUACUGGGUGCCUCGAGUGUGGUAGGGGUGUGCGGAACUAUCGGUGGAGCGGUGAAAUGCGUUGAUAUCGAUAGGAACUCCGGUGGCGAAGGCGGCACACUGGACCACAACUGACGCUGAGGCGCGAAAGCCAGGGGAGCAAACGGG